CCUACGGGGGGCAGCAGUGGGGAAUAUUGGACAAUGGGGGCAACCCUGAUCCAGCCAUGCCGCGUGUGUGAAGAAGGCCCUCGGGUUGUAAAGCACUUUCAGUGAGGAAGAACGCCUGGUGGUUAAUACCCAUCAGGAAAGACAUCACUCACAGAAGAAGCACCGGCUAACUCCGUGCCAGCAGCCGCGGUAAUACGGAGGGUGCGAGCGUUAAUCGGAAUUACUGGGCGUAAAGCGCGCGUAGGUGGCUUGAUAAGCCGGUUGUGAAAGCCCCGGGCUCAACCUGGGAACGGCAUCCGGAACUGUCAAGCUAGAGUGCAGGCGAGGAAGGUAGAAUUCCCGGUGUAGCGGUGAAAUGCGUAGAGAUCGGGAGGAAUACCAGUGGCGAAGGCGGCCUUCUGGACUGACACUGACACUGAGGUGCGAAAGCGUGGGUAGCAAACAGGAUUAGAUACCCUUGUAGUC
rnacentral:rRNA from 1 species